ensembl:piRNA 21ur-6625 ncRNA
UCAAUAUUUACGUUGAUGCUU